rnacentral:rRNA from 1 species
UACGUAGGUGUCGAGCGUUAUCCGGAAUUAUUGGGCGUAAAGAGCGCGCAGGUGGUUGAUUAAGUCUGAUGUGAAAGCCCACGGCUUAACCGUGGAGGGUCAUUGGAAACUGGUCGACUUGAGUGCAGAAGAGGGAAGUGGAAUUCCAUGUGUAGCGGUGAAAUGCGUAGAGAUUUGGAGGAACACCAGUGGCGAAGGCGACUUCCUGGUCUGUAACUGACACUGAGGCGCGAAAGCGUGGGGAGCAAACAGGAUUAGAUACCCU